AGAGAAGAGUCAAGACCACGCGCCAUACUUGGUUCCCACUAAGGUUAACGACGAGGCAGACAAGCAACUUAUCUUAAUCUGUGAAUGAUUAUGACAUUUAUAUUAUUAUGAAUAAGUUUUCAUAUACUAAUAUUGGGUACUACAACAGAACCUUCAUCCUUAACCAAAACCAAACCAAACCAAAAUUUGAACCGAAAUUCUAAAAUCAAAACCAAAACCGAUUCUAGAGAAGUCAUCCUAGGUGGCUGCCCAAGCUCCGGUCUACCAUAUUUGAACAGAGGAACAAUGUACUCCAUAAUCUGCAGUCCAUCCCUCCUCUGCUCAUCUUCAAGUCUAUCGAUCAUAAGGUACGCAAUACCAUCUCCGUUUCGGCGUC